CCUGGUGAAGUUAGGAAGUACCACGUUGAUUUGUGGAGUGAAAGCAGAACUUGCUGCACCUGCAGCAGAUUCUGCUAAUAAGGGAUAUAUUGUUGCCUGCUUUUUUGAUACCUAGUACCAAAUGUAGAACUGCCAUCCCUCUGUUCAGAGAGGUUUCGCUCCGGACCACCUGGUGAAGAGGCUCAAGCAGCGAGCCAGUUCAUUGCAGAUGUGAUUGAAAAAUGAUAGUGAAAGAAGAUCUGUCUAUUGCAAAUGGCAAGUACAACUGCCAUCGGUUAUUAUAAAUGAAGAAACUGGUUUAUCAGAAGUGAAUUUAAAACAGAAGACUCCUUUGAUUAUCAGAAAGCAUCCAGUUGCCUCAUCAUUUGGUGUAUUUGAUGAUACUCGUUGAUCCAACUGCUGAAGAAGAUUUAGCAACUGGAACAGUAACCAUUGUCACUGAUGAAGAAGGCAGAUUAUGUUCUGUCCAUAAACCAGGUGGAAGUCUUCUUACAGGAGCCAAGCUUCAGGACUGUAUCACCAGAGCAAUUACAAGACACAAAGAAGUAAAUAGGCUGAUAGACAAAGUAAUAAAAAGUAUAAUGCCCAAGUGAACAAAAGGAGAGAGCUUUUCAAAAAUGGAUUUGUAAAAAUUGUAUUUGUUACAGUGUUCACAAACCUUUUAUACUAAAUAAACAAAUACCAACACUACCUUUACAAAGUUCAUUUUUUCUAAAAUGUUUUUCACCCUAUGUACAGAGCUGUUGAGUGGUAAAAAAUACAAGAUAAAACAUUCUGUUAAAAAAUUGACUUAAGGAAACCAGAUCCUGGCUGCUUUAUAGAUGAAAUUUCUAGGUUCUGUAGGGCUGGCUUCCAAAAUCAGUUCAUUUUUUUAGUGUAAUGUCAAAAGUUAAUUUUCCCACCAGUAAUAAAAACCACUGAUUUAACUUUAAGCUUUCUCCUUAUUAAUCUGAAAAAAAUCCCCUUUGAACCAAUUUUUUGGGGAGGAGGCAAGUCUCAUGAUUUUGGAGGGGCUGGUGUGCCUCUUUUCCUUUUACUUUUUGAGUGGCUGCCUGAAUGCUGUUGAUGAUGCAGGUGAGCUGCUUGUGCUGCUGCCGUUGCCAUAGCCAUUUGAUGCUGCAAGAAUCGCAACUGCUGCCAUGAAGGAGGAGGAGAAAAAGCUUGUUAGUGUUGACUAUAAAGCUUUCAUGUCAGGAAGAAUGAGAGGAAGGUGGGGGGGAGAGGGGAAGGCAGAAAAAUGAGGAAGCACCAGGUUGACCAAAGGAAUACACCAUGUACUGGGGCAGUGGGUACAGUCAAGCAGCACCAGUGGCACAGAAACCUGCUGAGGGCACAGCUAACAUUUUAUAUGUGUAUGUGCCCAGCCUUGUUUCUUUGCCCUUUCUCUCCAUGGCAGUAACUUCAGUAACUCAGCAACUUCUGUGAAUAUUUAGGUCACAUAGUACAUUUUUAACAUAUUACCUUCUCAGUGUAUGCAUCGUAUGUAUUUUCUGUAUAUAUUACAAAGAGUGGACUGUGUGCUGAAAAAAUAUUAAAAUAUUUUCAUAAAGCAUCUGGAUGACAGAAUGGCAAAAGGAAUGCUUCGUAGAGCUGUUGCUUCCACAUGCUGAUUGUAGCAGUGCUGCAUUUGAACUUGCAGGUGCUUACAUUCAUGCCAUUUUAAAAUCUAUUGGCAUCUGGCAGAGCUGAUUUAGAUAUGUGCCACAAGCACCCCUUGAAUGUUUUCGUAUCAGGAAGGUGGAUGGCUUAAAUGAAUAAAAAUAAAUUCAGUGCUCCAAGCUGAGAUAACCACAGAUUAUAAAUCUUGCAUGAUGGUUUGCCAAAUUCACGUUUGUUUUUUGUAAUUUGUGAGACCAUAGUGACAUUAGUUAAAGAAGUCAAAAGGGCAAGAUUUUUGAUUUUGGAGCCAAGAAUUGUAUUUUUAGUUUUUUGGUUUGUUUGUUUUUUUAAACACAGAGUGAAGUUGCUGGAUUACUUGUAUCUGUUGCUGCUGCUGCUGCAAGGCUUGUUGUUGCUGUUGCAAGCCAGAAGAGAGCUGGAGUCUCUGCUGAGGAAGGCUUUGCCCAGGUCUCGAGAACAAGACUUUAGACGUUUUCAAUGCUUAAAGCCUUUAACACCAAUUACAAGCAGCAGUAGAGCAAAUGCCUUAAGAUUACAGCAUUAAAGCCAACUGAUACUUCCUUUGGUGCAAAGAAAAUUCUGUUGAACUACAGCAGUGAGGAUUGUAAGCCAACUCACAGCAGUAUCCUGAAAUAUAUCUACCCUAAUGGAUGGUGGACAGUCCUGGACUACUCUCCCCCUCCCACCAACUAACCCACGGCAAAUUAAGAAACCAUCAUAAUAAAA